UUAACCUUCUUAUUUCAAGUUAUGAUAUGAUUUUAUUUUUCAUAAUUUCUGCAUGGAAAUAAAUAACCUUAGCAGCGACGAGCAGAUGUCAUUAAAAUACUGUGUGCUCUAUUUGCUCUUGACAUAAAUCAAACUCUAGAAAUGCAUUUAAUAUGUCUUCUUUUCUCUGUCACAACAGUGGGCUUCUUUUCUGUUGUUCCUACAAUGAGCAAAUUACAAUCUCUGCCAAUUUCAAUUCCUUCUUCUUUGAAAAACUGUGAGAAUGUCCACUAAACUAUCAGCAAAUUAAACUUAAAUCGCGUAACUUUGUUCUUAGUCAGGCAUCAGUUUGACUUUGACACAUGUAGAAGAAACUAGAGAGGCAGGAAACACAAGCAUGAGAGAUGUCAUUAAGAGAUAUAUUUUCUGGUUUGUAUCUAAUAGUUCUAUAUAAAUUUAAAAAAAAUGUUUUAGGUAAAUAAUUUGUCAUCCCUCUUUGCAGUUGGAAAAAGUUUAAUGAGGAGGAUUUAGUUUACCUACAAGUGGCUUUUGGUAUGAUAGAUGGUUUGUUCCAGGGGUGGAUUUAGAGGGUGUUCACUUGAGCCCCUCGGCAAAAAUAUUACAGACUAUAUAGGGUAGAUUUUUUGUGUUUAUGUACAUUUAUAAAUUUUGAAUCAUGUGAACAAUAUGCAAAAGGUUAGGUCAGCGGUCCAAGGCAUUCAAAAUGCACCUAACGUCCAAGAUUUGAUUCUUAAGGACUGCAUUAUUUUUUUAGAUUAUUAUUUUUCGAGCCGCCUAACUGAAUACCUGAGCUCUUACUCCUCCUAAUUGGUAAUAUUAGAACCAGAACAUAGCUAAGAUUAAAUAAAGAUGUUUUGGAUGGUUAGUUUUAAUUGCAGCUAGGAUGAAUUCUUAGGUUGUAAUUCUAGCUUGACAAGUUUGCUUGGAAUGUUUGAGUACAUUCAUCGUGAUGUAGGCUCGACAUUAUGAAUAACUCAAAGUGGGUGACUCUAUGAUCUAUUCUUCUUUUUGGUAUUUUUCGACAAUCUCCAUUUGAUUAUUUUUACUAAGGUCUUUGUGAAAGAAAGUAAAUUGAACGAGUGACAGAGGUCAGGCAUACUUUUUCAAAUAAGAUUGAAUCAUUGAAGCAUCUUCAUCACAAUUAUCAAAUCCAAACGUUUUAUAGUUUCUGUUAGGGUGUCAAAUGGGCGGGUUGGACUGAAUUUGGGCGGGUCAAAGUUACUUGGGUUGAAAUGAAUUGGGCUUAAAUGGGGUAAAAACUAGAUCAUAACCCCAUCCAUCCAACUUUUACUAAAUUCUAAAUUCUUUGUUUGAUUUCUUAUAAAUUGUUUAACUACCUAAAUCAAUUUUUUUGUUUUAUUAUGACUAUAUACAUAUCAAAUAAAAAAUUUCAUUCUUAAAACUAUUAGUUAGUUUCUCAUGGGUCAAUUUGGGUUGUGCAUAUCAGCCCAAUUUUUGAAUAGACAGAAUUGGGAGGGUCAAAUGGGUUGAGUUAAUAAAAUAAGCGGGCCAUUAACCCGCCAAAUCAAAGCGGGUUGGGCGGGUCAUUAGCUCGCCAAAUCUAAGCGGGUCAUGAUUUUGUAGGCUGAUUUUGCCACCCCUAGUUUCUCUGAAUUCACGAAGCUUUUUAGAAGUUAGAAGGUUUCCUUUUAAUAAGUCUUCCCAUUCAUGAGAAUAAAUUUUCUUUCCCAGCAGGAUCUAAAGACAAAUGGCUAAUAUUAUUCAAAAGAGGUAUGAACGUGAUUGUGUGAAGAGUUUGAGAUCUAGAGAAGUACUCAUAUAUUUCUUUUUCAACAAUUUGGAUGAAGCUUUUCUCUUAUCCAAGUUCCAAGUUGGAGCAGCUGUGGUGAUCUUUAAGGAACUUGGCAACCAGAAGCAGAGUGAUCACAGCCAAUGGCAGCUUUUCCCUAUUCACAAGUUGAAAUGAUCAAAUGUGUUUUGAGACUGCUGCUGAUUUAGCUAUGUAAUGAUUUACUUGCUAGUUUUCACACAAAUGACGUCACUCUUUGUUGAGCAAGGUGAUGCCAUGAAAACUACAAAAGUGAACUUCAGGAUCCCAGCAGCAUGUAUGUCUACCUUUGACAUCCUUAGUGUAGCACCUGCCAUGUUUCUCAAACACGGAGUUCUUGAUCCACUUAGGUUUAAGAGGAGCAAGUGUGACCACACCGAGCUAACUCAACUUCAAAGCAUGUGAAUUGGACUAGUCACAACAGUGAUGGCUAUGCUUUCUGCAGGAAUUGUGGAGGACUAUAGGCUUACUCAAGCUAUAAAUGACUGCAAAUACAGUGAAGGCUCUAGCUCGGUAAAGUUACCCUUGCUCUUCUUAAACCUAUUGACAAGUGGUCAAGAACUCUGUGUUUGGGAAAUAUGACAAGUGCUACACUAAGGAUGUCAAUGGUAGAUAUACAUGCAGCUGGAAUCCUGAAGUUCGCUAUUGUAGUUUUCAUGGCGUCUCCUUGCUCAACUAAGACUGGUGUCAUUUGUGUAAAAACUACUAAGUAAAUCAUUAUAUAGCUAAAUCUCUAUUAGCUAUGUAAUAGUAGUCUUUUCCGACCAAAAAAUUAUCUAUUAGCAAUGUAAUAAGAGUUUAACCUAUACACCUUCCAUUUUUUUGUAAACAUUAUCAGGUCUAUCAAAGGAUAUCUACGUUGUAAACCUUUUUAAAAAA